rnacentral:rRNA from 1 species
UACGUAGGGGGCUAGCGUUGUCCGGAAUCAUUGGGCGUAAAGAGCGUGUAGGCGGCCCGGUAAGUCCGCUGUAAAAGUCAAAGGCUCAACCUUUGAAUGUCAGUGGAUACUGCCGGGCUAGAGUCCGGAAGAGGCGAGUGGAAUUCCCGGUGUAGCGGUGAAAUGCGCAGAUAUCGGGAGGAACACCAAUUGCGAAGGCAGCUUGCUACACUAUUAUUGACACUGAGGCACGAAAGCGUGGGGAUCAAACAGG